rnacentral:sRNA from 1 species
AGGCUCUGACCAAGAAUGACAGGAGCACAGAGGGGAAGGCCCACCGGGAGAAGCUCGAGCUUGCUGCCUCCUUCUCCUUCUUUGGCAACGUCAUGUCCAUGGCCAGCGUGCAGCUGGCAGGAGCCAAGCGGGAUGCUCUGCUCCUAAGCUUCAAGGAUGCCAAGCUGUCUGUGGUGGAGUACGACCCGGGCACCCAUGACCUGAAGACCCUGUCACUGCACUACUUUGAGGAGCCUGAGCUUCGGGACGGGUUUGUGCAGAAUGUACACACGCCGCGAGUGCGGGUGGACCCCGAUGGGCGCUGUGCAGCCAUGCUUGUCUACGGCACGCGGCUGGUGGUCCUGCCCUUCCGCAGGGAGAGCCUGGCUGAGGAGCACGAGGGGCUCGUGGGUGAGGGGCAGAGGUCCAGCUUCCUGCCCAGCUACAUCAUCGAUGUGCGGGCCCUAGACGAGAAGCUGCUCAACAUCAUCGACCUGCAGUUCCUGCAUGGCUACUACGAGCCUACCCUCCUCAUCCUGUUUGAGCCCAACCAGACCUGGCCUGGGCGCGUGGCCGUGCGGCAGGACACGUGCUCCAUUGUGGCCAUCUCACUGAACAUCACGCAGAAGGUGCACCCCGUCAUCUGGUCCCUCACCAGCCUGCCCUUUGACUGCACCCAGGCUCUGGCUGUGCCCAAGCCCAUAGGUGUGUGUCCUGGGAGUGGAUAGGGGAGUGUGUGGAGACAGCACUGAGCCUGCCCACCAGCCUGUGUCCACCUCCAGGUGGGGUGGUGGUGUUUGCCGUCAACUCGCUGUUGUACCUGAACCAGAGCGUCCCCCCGUACGGCGUGGCUCUCAACAGCCUCACCACAGGAACCACGGCUUUCCCACUUCGUGAGUGUGAGGUGGCUGGGGGGGGCCGGGGACGGCUUGGGCCUGCCUAGUCGGCCUGACCACCCACCCCACAGGCACCCAGGAGGGUGUGCGGAUCACCCUGGACUGCGCCCAGGCCACCUUCAUCUCCUACGACAAGAUGGUCAUCUCCCUCAAGGGCGGCGAGAUCUACGUGCUGACCCUCAUCACCGACGGCAUGCGCAGUGUCCGAGCGUUCCACUUUGACAA